CGCUCUCCCGCCCCCCAGCUCACACCGCCCGCCGCGCUCUGCCCGGGCAUCCUCAGUCCUUGGGCGCUUCUGCACAGACAGCUUUUAUUUCAGAGCAGUCUGGUGGCAUCACUGAUUCCAAGUCUGUGCCAGGGAAGAGCAGACAGGCUGCCAUAUUCCAGAUGGUCCCUUUGGGUGUGCAAUUCCAAGGCUCUGGUGGUGCUUCAGAAACUAUACUGAGACCUUUGACUUAAACUACUUGUUCUGUUCGACAAAAAUUGAAAGGUUACCAGAGAGUGCCAGCAGCUCCUAUGAAUCUCCUGCUUAUCUCCUGCUUCCAAAAAAUGUUGUGAGUUUUAGUAAAGGCUCUGCUAUCACACAGAAGAAGGGACAGUAAAUGAAUCAUGAGAGGAACAAUACUGGGAACACCUGCUCUACUGUCCUCAAAUGAAGCAUGCAAAUAGCUACAUCUGUACCUUUUUUCAAUAGCAAUAUCCAAGAACUCACCAACACAACUCCCUUGCUACAGCAGCUGGAGGUGCAUAGCAAGGUGCAGAACUGUGUGUCCGCCAAUAUGUAAGCCAAGCGGACAGACAGAAGACUAGAAUUCAUCUGUGAAGUUGGUAGUGUAUCAAUAUUAUACUCCUAUCUUGCUUUCCAAAGUUGUCCUUAAAUUUGAGAAACCCUAAGAGAUCUGUAUGUUACUUUCUUAUAUUCUUAUGGGUGGGAACUGCUUUUACUAUCCUCAGUUACAAUCACUGUAACCUUCCCAUUGCUUUAUAACAAAGUCCAGAUUAGUCCAAGCUGUUUUGCUCUGCAUUUUGUUCCUCAGUCCACCCUUCUUCAACAUCAGCCCAGAAGUAGGAGUAACAUUUGGUCUGAAUUUCUCAAAAACAACAACAAAAAAAUCCUUUCCUGACCCUUUCCUCAGAUUCACUAAAAAGCCUUAAAAUUUACUUCAGUCAUCAUCAUUUUAUUGGCUUAACUCACAAGGAUAGAGUGGUGACAUUUGUGCAUAUUGUGCAUAUUGUGACACAUGAUGCAUAUCCAGAGACAGUGAAACUGAAAAGUCAUAGCACAUUAUUCUACUGUGGAAACUUAGCUUUGUCAGGUGGUUGUUUUGAUGUCAGUAGAAUCAUUUUAUUUUGCCUGACAGUGAUAAAACAAGGGAAACCAUAAGAAUGUCUUCCCUUCUGUUUGUCUGCAGCUGCAAACAUUUAUGCUUCUUAAAAUCCUUACUGUAAAGGUAUUUACCAGUGAAUACUUGAAGUCAAAUAAAAAUAUUCUUGGACGUAUCACGGUAUCUCAUAGACUAUAGCUUCAAACCCAAAUAGUCCAUUACUUACAAAAAAAUGGCAGCAGAUGACAAAUGUAUUGGCCUCAAUUCCAUAUUUAGAUGUUUUGGAUGGCACAGAUUUCACAGUUUGUGACUUUGGAGAGAGAACAGCUGAUGUGAGUCCAAGAUUGAAAUUGCUCAUAAUCUCCUUAUUCUGCACAAAGCGUAUGAAGACAAGGCUCUGAAAGCAACUAUUAAAAUUUAGGGCUAGAUACAAUAAUGUAAUCAUUCUAGUUUUGGAAUAAGAGAUAAUAGUAUAUUAUGCCACAAAAAAAAAAAAACUAUCAGAAGAUUUUGAAAUGCCUUCUGAACAGUGUAGAGCAGGAGUGUUUCCUGUGAGUCAACACAGAAUUUUGUAGUCAAACGCAGUUUUCUUUAUUUUAUCUAGAAAUAAUCAUUGGGUUCGGUUACCCGUACAGAGGUAUCUAACGCCUUUUGAGACAUCACCAAGUAUCCAUUCAACCCUCUCCUGCCAGUCUAGAGGAGUAUGGGUCUCCCAAAGAUGGUAUGUCAUAUUUGCCAGCCCUAUACUGGCAAAUGCCUCGGAUACUCCAUUGCAUCUCAAAUGACACUAGAUACCUAUGGGUAGUCGACUGAAUCAAGCCCUUUGUGUCUCCAACAGAACCGACAGCCGUGAAAAAUUUAGGCAGGUCUUACAAACUAUUUUGAAAAGAAUAUGUCUAUCAACUAUUGUGUGACUGUUACAGUGAUCCAAGCAAGAUAAUGAACCACAAAA